rnacentral:lncRNA from 1 species
AACUAAACCCCCCUUAGCUAGGGGGAAUUCGAAACCAUGUUCAUGCUUGCAAUAUGAUUUGAUUACCUUUAGUUGUGAUUUCAUAAGUUGUGAAUUCAAUUUGUUUAACUGCUUGAUUGAUAACUUAUUCGUGUAUGUUAAUUAAGAGUGCACACUUAGUUUGCAUGCAUGAAUGUGAUGCUAGAGUAUAAGGGAGUUUCACCUAAUAGUUACAAACUUAUAUUCACAAGUAGUGGAGGUCGCUUAUAAACGAUCGCGUUAAAUAAAUUCUUGGCAGGAGUUUCAUGCUCAUCAUAGUAACGAAUGCCUUGUCAAUACUUAUAGUUUUCAUAAUGCUUAAUGAUCUUUGAUUGUAUCUUUAUUGUGCUGUUCACGUAAAGAACUUUUGAAGAAUGCUUAAAUUGUUGUAUGCGUUUUCCCAUCCAAUUCAAUAACUUAAGGAGAACUUGAAGGUUAAUUUAAGCGGACUUAAUUAACCUGGGGUGUUGAGUUUCAUGAUUGAUCGAAAGAACAACUGAAAAUUGGUUUAUGUGCAAGUAUGUCAUGUGUGGAGAAGAACCUCCUAGCUAGCCUUCCAUCUAUUCAAUUUACUCAAAUUCGUGCAGAUUUCAUUAGUUAUUUAAUUUACUUGUUUUGUUUUCAAAUUCGUCAAAACCAAAACCCCCUUUCCUUUAAAGUGUUUUAUUAGUCAAAAUCUGUUUUGAUUUGUGUUUUUAGGUGUCCCAAAAGUGUGUUAGAGUCCAAAUCUGCCCAGUUUGUGUUUUUAGGCAAAUUUGAGCGUUUUUAGCUUGUUUCGAGUCCUUUGAGUUUGUUUUAAGUUCUUUGAGUCUAGUUUAUUGUUUUUAACUUUGGUUAUAUGUUUUUAAGUCAGUUUAGAGGUUUUAGCAAGCCCUCCUAAUCCCCGGUUUAGAACGAUCCCUACUUGCAUUUAUACUACAAUUUGACAACAAGAGGGUUUAAUUUGUGUGUUAAGUUAAAAUUCGCAUCAAAUUUUUGGCGCCGUUGCCGAGGAUUAGCAACUUUGCUAAUCCCUUGUUAUUUCUUUUUCUAUAUUUUCGUGUCUUUUGUUUUUAGUUACUGACUUUGUUUUUGUUUGUGUUUUUUUUUUUUUUUUUUUGUUUACUUUUGAUAUUUGAUUUAGUUUUGUUUCCUUGACUUCAGGUACUAGAGAAGUAAGACAUAGAUUUUGCUACCAUUUAUGCUCAAUUGACGAAACUUACUUCUCAAUUGUCACAAUAUUCCGAAAGGACCACAAUGCAAAGUGUCCUUACAUAUGGUGUGUCCUAUGGGCAAGGAUAUCCAACUCAUCAAUGUUCUCAAUUCACUGCGAAUGAAGAUGUUCGGGGUUAUCAAGGCCAUAGCCAAUCAUGGGACAACAUGUUUUCCAACGCUUACAAUUCGGAUUGGAGAGAUUAUUUAGAUUACAUGUGGGGAGAACCUCAACAAUUCCAACAAGAUGGAUAUUGGCAGCAAGAAGAGGAGUUCUAUUCAAGACCUAUGCAGCCACAACAACCUUCUCCACAACAAUUCAAAUCAAAUUCAAGUAUGCCUAUGAGUUAUGAUGAAAUUCUUGAUGUACUAACCUCUUUGACGCAGGGCUCACAACAAGAAGAAUAUUUGCCGCCAUCGAAUGAGUUCUAUCACUGGCCAUAUGAACCAUCACAGCGACCACAACAAUCUGCCCAAUUCAAUUCAGGUACGUCUUUGGAUAAUGACAUGUUUAAUAAGUUACUCACCUCUUUGAACCAGGAAGUAGAAAAUCGAAACAAAGAGAUUCAAAAUCAAGCCAGGAAGAUGGGUGAAUUGGAGAAGCAAAUUGGGCAGAUUAUGGAGUUCAUGGCACAAAUUCAAGAGCAAAGUGAACUCUCCAACUCAACUAUUGAAAAUUUGAAGGAAGAUUUUGAAAUCCAUGAUGCUAUCACUUUGGGAAGUGCUAUGGAGGUUGGAGGUGAACCCAAGACAUCCAAACCAAGCCAAAACAUGGAUGAACAGUUGCUGCUUGAAGAAGAGGAGAAUAACAAGGCCACGGCAAGGGAAGAACCACCCUUGCCACUGCCCCAUAUGCCCUCUAUGCCAUCCACUACAACCAAGGUAAGCCUAAAUUCAAUUUGUCCUGACCCCGUUUCACCAAAUGUCCUUAUUCCUUGCAGGAUCAUGCAAUCCAAGGAAGAAGAAGGUGAGAAAGGCAUCUUCGAAACCUUUCCAAAGAAUCAAGAGCAAGAAGUGGAUGGGGAAUGUCUAGAAUUCAUCAAAGAAGAUACACUUGAGAAGAAAAUUCCUAAAGAAGUUGGAUUUUAUGAUAGGGGAAAAGUCCUAACUCUUAUAACACCAAAUCUGGCCAAGUCCCAUAUCCCUGAUAUGGUGUUCGUAAUUGAGUUUGUGUUGGAGCAAGCAAGUAAGCCAUCUUUUCCAACUUCGAUUUUAUUAUAUACUAACUUGCUGAUUUUGAUGAUUAAGGCACCUACACUAGAAUUUAAACCAUUGCCGGAUCACGUCAAGUAUCACCUUCCAUUCAAGGAUCAAUUCCAUGAUAUGGACCCUAUCCAAGUUUAGAAGGAAGUUUCGUUCGGCUGGAAGACGUUAAAGCAAGCGCUUCUUGGGAGGCAACCCAUGUAUUCAAAUAAGGAAGUUUUUUGAAUCGCUCCACAAUCAGUUUUGCGUUUCUAAAAACCUUCCCUUUUCUGCAUUUCUAUUUUGCCAUGAUUGUCAUUUUUUAUUUUUGUUGUUUAUUUAAUUAUUUUUGGGUGUGGGUUUAUUUUUGAAACAUUGACAGAUAUGCAAGGUAUUCUUACAUUCAUUUUCAUGAAAAAAAAAAGGAACAUUAAGCAGAAAAUUACAAGAGGGAGCCUUCACAAAGGCUGUUUAGGAGAAGUCUCAGUAGUCAGCAGAGCCUCAGCAGUCGACGGAGCCCCAGAAGGAAGAGGCAGCAGAGGUUGAUCAUUUGGAGCUUCAGUACACGGUACAGCCCCAGAAGAUGAAGGCAAAUGUUGUUGGAACAAACCCACAAACCUCUGAUGAUCAAGUAAAAUCUGACCAUCAGAUUCCUGCAUCUGGUCAAUCUUUCUCUUCAUGUUUGUAGCAUAGUUAUGUGCGAGCCUGUGCAACUGUUUAUUCUCAUGCUUGAGCCCUCUAAUCUCCUGCUUAAGGCUCAUCACUUCAGCCGCUAAUGAUUCAACUUGACGAGUUCGAGCAAAUAGGCGUUGGGCCAUAUUAGACACAGAACCUGCACACUGCACACUGAGAGCCAGAUAAUCCAUAACAACCAACUCAUCAGACCGUUUGGAAAGUAGUCUGUUAUCUUUGGGAGUGACAAGGUUCCGGGCCACCACCGCAGCGGUCAUGUCAUUCUUCACCGAAUCCCCAAUGGUAAAAGGACCAGUAGGGGAUAUGAAGGAUGGGCGGCAUAUAUUGUUUGGAGAAGGCGGGACUACCUCUUCACCAAGGUUCAAGUCAAAACGACGGUCGGAGAGGCCAGACAUUUUCAGAGGUGUUAAAGAAAGAAGAGGUUGGAUAAGUCAAGGUCGUAGAAGUGCAAGAAGGAAGUUUCUAUAGGUAGAAAUUUAAGUGUGCUUUGAACGUCCUACGUACCUCUAUAAAAAUCAACACUCGAUGGGAUUUCAGAGAUCGAAGAGGCGAGCUCAGAAAUCGAAAAGGCCAACUCAAAAAUCGAAGAGACGCUAGCUUUCUCAAAAGCUGGGCUUGCUCAGAAACCACGGGCCAAUCUUCUUUUCCAGAUUUGUCCGCACUUGUCACAUGCAACCUCUGCACCUGACGGGAUUUCAGAGAUCGAAGAGGCGAGCUUAGAACUCGAAGAGGCAAACUCAGAAAUCGGAGAAACAUCUGCUUUUCCAGAUGUGUCAGCAUUUGUCACAUGCAGAGUCAGCUUUGCAGAAAUCAUGGGCAGUUUGUCGAAGCCCCGAUUCCAGAUAUCGAAGAGCACUUGCUUUUCCAGACAUGUCAGCGCCUGUCACAUGCACACUCAGCCUUGCGAAAAUUACGGGCAAUCUGUCGAAGAACUCUUAUGAAGUAGAAAACACGUAAAGUUUACUAUUAAAUCAUCCAACGGUUGCUGACAAGGGUGAAAGAAUAGUACCGGUUAUUAAUUCCUAUAAAUGUCACAUUUCACCCUCCAUUGCAAGGCAGACAUACAUAACCCUUAUUCUUUUUCGAGAAUGCCUUUCCAACAAACUCUCUCGAGUCACUCAGUAUUCCUUAUUCCUUGGGGUACCUCUGCAAACAACUCAUCCAAAGCAAAAGUAUCUCAUAUCAUGCUUUCUCCCUGUCAUUCUCCUUGUUGUUGUUUUGGGACAAGGAGAAAGAGAGCAAUCAACUAGCACUUGGUAUUAAUCUUCUGAUCUGGAACCGACUGCCUGGAACCCCUUCCUGAUUGCUUACCUAGCCUUGCUCUCGAGUACUCAUCUUCAUCAUUUUAUGCUUCCUCUUCGUCUACCACAUCUGCUUGGGGAAUAGAUAAAGGAAGUGAAAAUGAUACAUCGAAGCAUGUGGAGGCAAUUUGCCAAUUCAUCCUCAGCUAGGGACAAGGAGAAAGAAAGCAAGAGGUGGGCACUUGGAAAGAUUGAAGAAAGAAACAGACCAACACCUCUACCUCGUGCCUGCCUGCCGUGCAGAAGAAACAAGCAGAGAAGAAUGCAGACUACACAAUCAAAUCAAUCCAGCAGAAGAAGUCUGAUUUGAAACCAAGGAACUCUCAUAUUCCUCGCUCAGAAUUCCAAACUAGUUCGAGAUCAAAGCUGUGGAAAGACAACAAGAUCAUCAAUCUCCAAAACCAGAUUUGCGUUCUUAAACUCUAUUAUGUCUGGUUUUUACUUUGCCAUACUUGUCAUGUUUAUUCGUUGUUUGUUUGUUUGCUUGUUUUUUUUUUUUUUUUUUUUGUGAGUUUAUGCUUAAAACAUUGAGGACAAUGUUUAAUUUAAGUGUGGGGGGGGGUAACCAAGUUGUUUUGCAUGAAAUUCGUGGGAGUUUAUCAUCCAUUACUUCUAAGUGUUGUUCCUUGAUGUUUUAAGUGUUUUUAAGCUGUUUUGGAGUAUUUUAGUGUGUUUUGACAUAAAAAUCUGAAAAUCUCAUAAAAAUUUGAAAAAUUGUUUUGAAAAACCCAAAAAUAGUUGUUUUUGUUUGUUUGUCUGUGUCUUAGGGUACCUUCCAACACAAUGAUGAGGAUUUGAUUUUUAAUUACAUGACUGUUAAAGAGAGUUAUAAACACGAAUGAAAAUUGAUUUACUCUUUGAUGUAUGCUUGGUUGUGGUUAUAAAUUAUGAAUUCACAUGCAAUCAUAAAGCAAAAAUCAGUUUUUGUAACAUGCUUGAAGGAAGGAACUCAAAUGAACGCUACAACCUUGUGAGACUUGAGCCUAAACGUUUAUUUGGAGAGUUAAUAAUUUGUGCACCAUUGUUUUCUAAAAGUCGUUGAAUGAUCUCAUUAUUCUUUGCUUGGUUGCUACUUAGAAGGCGUUUCAUCAUUUAGUUCCAAAUGCUAGAACUCAUGACUAUUUCAUUCAAAUCAUGCUAUUGAUUUGCAUAACACAUAUUUAAGAUGAAGUUGUGUAGUGACCACCAAAGCCAAAUUGCCGUGCCUCUAUUUCAUUAUGUGUUUAAGUUUAACCCCAUUGAGCCUUGUGUUGCCUAUGUUCUUUGUUACCCGCACUAUCCUCACCUAGCCUAGAUUAGGACCAUCCAUACCCUUGUUCUUGAAGCAUAGUAAAGUAUAAUUUAGAAGGAAUUCCUUUUGUUGAACUCUUGCAGAAAAACAAGUGUGGGGGGAAGUGAUUUUUGUGUGUGUGUGUGCCAAAGUCCUUCAUAAGGCACGGGUAGAAAAGGAAAAGAAAAAGAAAAAUUGGUGGAAAAUAGAAUGAAAAGAAGAAAAGUUGUGAAAAGAGUUGAAAAAUUUAUGAGAAAGAGCUCUAAAGUGUUGUUUGUAGAAGAAAGGGUCCAAAGCAUUGAAUUCGACCAUAAGUGUUGCAUGAAUCUUCCCUUUGUGUUUAAAAGUUGAUUUUUGCAUUCUAAAGUAAAUUCCAAGUGUCGAUUCCAUUACUUUACUUGCUAUCGCUUUAAGAACGUUUGUUAUUCCUAUCCUUUCUUUGUUAGCCAUUACCCCCAAGCCCUGUUACAACCCUUGACUUCAAUCUUAAGUGUUGUGUGUUUCAAUUUGUAGAGUUUGAAAUUGAUAUGAGCAUAUGGUGUCACUGGUUCUCGCAUCUAAGUAGUAGCAUUCUAGUCAUGAGAUCAUAUAUAUACAUGAAUUAAUAAUUUCAGAAAUUGCUUCUUUGUUGAAAAACAUAUGUGAGUACUAGUUUUCAUGUUUACACCAAUCUUUUCACAUAUACCUAGUAUAGGGAGUGUAGUCAGAAAUUCUUGUGUGAAAAUAAGAGUGUAUCUAGUAAGGAAUUGAGGAAAUUCUCUAAGGCAUGUUACUAUAUUCAAAAUGUUGUUUUAAUUGAUUAAAUGUGAGCUAGUGAUUGGUGACUAUGAUUAAGAAUGCUCAAGGGUAAGGAAUGCUUAAAUCUAUGUAAGUGGUGAUCUUUGGCAUGUCAUGUUUCAUUGAAAAUCCCUGAGGCAAAUGUUGGAAGGUCAAGGUUAUGUUUUGUUUGUUUUGUUUGUUUUGUUUUGCUCAAGGACUAGCAAAAGCUAAGUGUGGGGGAAUUUGAUAGGAGCAUAUUUAUGCGACUUAGUUAGCUUGUUCUUGUGCAUUUAUGUUGUUAUUUCUUAGUCAAUUAUGUAUUUUAAGCUAUUUUCGUGUGUUUGUAGGUUCAAAUAACAAAGUUAGCAACAAAUUACUAUUUGGAGCAUUUCGGAGCAUUUUCGGGCCAAUAUUGGAUAGUGCAAGCAUGGAGACAUGAGGAUGGACGUUUUUGAAGAUUUGAAGGCUAGAAAUCAGCAUGUGUGUGUGCAAGUGUGUUGACCUACAACUCCAAACAUCCAUCCACUACACCCAUUACAUCCACUCAUUACCAAACAUCCACCCACUACAUCAUUACAUCACUCAUUACAACAUCAUCCAUCCACUACACCUAUUACAUCCACUCAUUACCCCACUACAUCCAUUACAUCCACUCAUUACCAAACAUCCAUCCACUACACCUAUUACAUCCACUCAUUACCAACAUCAUCCACUACACCCCAUUACAUCCACAUCCACAUCCACCCACACCACACAUUACACCACUCAUCCCACAUUACAAAACACCAAAUUACACUCACAACUUACACCAGCUACCAAAACAUCCACCACUUAAUAAUGGUGGAGGUCUUACCAAAGCCUAUAAAUACAACCCUCAAAUUUCCAUAACAAAACACACUACUUCAAAUCUCACCAACUUAAACACACUUUCAAUUGGCCGGAAAACAGAACAAAUCCACCCAUAAAAAUCCACCAUCAAAAUCACCUAUCAUUUCACAUCCACCAUAAAAAUCAUCCAAAACCAUACCUCUUGUGCCGUAACAAAAAAGAAGGAGGACCCUUUGGACUGCUUGCUAUUCAAGUUGGAUUUUGGUUUUUAGGUCUUUUCAUUCUUUUGUUUUCAAUGUCUAAAUUUGUUUAUCUUUGCUUUGUGAGUAUGAGGAACUAAACCCCCCUUAGCUAGGGGGGAAUUCGAAACCAUGUUCAUGCUUGCAAUAUGAUUUGAUUACCUUUAGUUGUGAUUUCAUAAGUUGUGAAUUCAAUUUGUUUAACUACUUGAUUGAUAACUUAUUCGUGUAUGUUUAUUAAGAGUGCACACUUAGUUUGCAUGCAUGAAUAUGAUGCUAAAGUAUAAGGGAGUUUCACCUAAUAGUUAUAAACUUAUAUUCACAAGUAGUGGAGGUCGCUUAUAAACGAUUGUGUUAAAUAAAUUCUUGGCAGGAGUUUCAUGCUCAUCAUAGUAACGAAUGCCUCGUCAAUACUUAUAGUUUUCAUAAUGCUUAAUGACCUUUGAUUGUAUCUUUAUUGUGCUAUUCACGUAAAGAACUUUUGAAGAAUGCUUGAAUUGUUGUAUGUGUUUUCCCAUCCAAUUCAAUAACUUAAGGAGAACUUGAAGGUUAAUUUAAGCGGACUUAAUUAACCUGGGGUGUUGAGUGUCAUGAUUGAUCGAAAGAACAACUGAAAAUUGGUUUAUGUGCAAGUAUGUCAUGUGUGGAAAAGAACCUCCUAGCUAGCCUUCCAUCCAUUCAAUUUACUCAAAUUCGUGCAGAUUUCAUUCGUUCUUUAAUUUACUUGUUUUGUUUUCAAAUUCGUCAAAACCAAAACCCCAUUUACUUUAAAGUGUUUUAUUAGUCAAAAUCUAUUUUGAUUUGUGUUUUUAGGUGUCCCAAAAGUGUGUUAGAGUCCAAAUCUACCCAGUUUAUGUUUUUAGGCAGAUUUGAGCUUUUUUAGCUUGUUUUGAGUCUUUUGAGUUUGUUUUAAGUUCUUUGAGUCUAGUUUAGUGUUUUUAACUUUGUUUAUAUGUUUUUAAGUCAGUUUAGAGGUUUUAGCAAGCCCUCCUAAUCCCCGGUUUAGAACGAUCCCUACUUGCAUUUAUACUACAAUUUGACAACAAGAGGGUUUAAUUUGUGUGUUAAGUUAAAAUUCGCAUCAAUCCUCUCCAGAUUCCCUUUGUGAGGAUUUCGGAGAUUCUCUAAUCACGUAUGUUCAUCGUGUAUCGUGCAAUCAUUUUUCAUCAAAUACUAUUUAUAUUCAAUUUUAAAUAAUAAAAAAUUUACAAUGAUUUAUGAUCGCACAAUAUACGAUGAACAAACGUGAUUGGAGAAUAUUCGGGAUUCUCACAAAGAGGAUCUGGAGAUGAUCCUUAUUCAAAGAUAGAUAGGCUGAAAUGAGCUAACGCAUCCGCCACAAAGUUAGUUUCCCUGAAAAUAUGCUUCCACUCCACAGAAAGGAACUCACAAGCCAGAAUCUGAAUGUCGCGCAUGAUGGAGUGGAUAUGCCAGGGAAUAUUAAGGGCUCGUUCGAGAUAUGCGGGUCGACUAUGAUGAAUCAUACUAUUCAGUUAUGUAAUAAGUACGAAUAAAAAAAAAUUAAAAUCCAAAACUUAUGUUAAACUAAUAAUCAGAGUUACUAAUGACCACUUGCUCAUCACAGAAAUCACCUACGUACUAAGUCCUUGAGGGGCGUAAAACAGAAAGUGUGAGUGGGCAAAUAUAAGGAUUUACUAAAACACCUUUGUUUUUUCACAACAUAAAAACUCAUUGCUGUAAAAUCUGUAUAGUUUCCAAAAUCAUACUAUGUAUAAGUAUGAAAACCAAGUAUCAGUAUAAAAUAAUUAUUCUAAGAAUACGAGUAAACCACACAUAUCUCAAAAACAAUAUAACAUGCUUAUCAAAAUUAUGCUUACUUACGAGUCCUUGCAGAAAGUAGCUACAUGAACAUGCUAUGUGUAAUAAUCUACUUGAGUACUACAUCAUGAAGAUGGCGCUAAGCACGUCAAAUAUGAGUCAUAGAUGCAAAAGCAAUUAGUUUAGGCAGGUACCUGCAAUGGAUCCAAUGUGAGCAUUACGAUACGUUUCGAACAUACACGUGAAACUGGUCCUGCCCUAAACGAGUAAUAUAGUAACCGGUGUAGACAUGCAUGAUGAGCAAAUAAAAUAUGCAUGAUCAUGUUGUCACUAUGGGGCCAAAAAUAAUCACAAGACGACACGUGGAUUGUUGGACAAAAAGGACCAAAAUACCCCUGAAGUACACCAAGAUCUCUACGCGCAAGCAGUCGACAAUCUUUUUUCAACAAAGUCAAAGAUGCUCCAAAAGAGGUAAACAAUUCAAAAUCUAUCUCAUCAAAUUCCCUUUUGCAAGGUAACCUCCAAAUUAUUAUGUUAAUUGGUUAAUUAAUGGAUUAAUUACCCAAUUAAUCCAUUAAAUAUCAAUUAAGUCACCCUUUAUAUCAAAUAAACCACCAAAAACCACAUCAAUGGCCGGCCAUCCCCAUCUGAAAAGGGAUUCAUCCUAUUUCCUACCUUUCCUUACCCUUUUCUCCCCUUUUUAGCAAAUUAUUUAGUUAUUCUUUAUUACCUUUUCAUAACCUAAUUAUCAAUUUAUUCUAAAUAAAUAUGUAACCACCAAUUUAUUCUUUAAGGUUUAAUUAGCCAAUAAAUUGGCUAAUUAAACCAAAAUCUCAACCACAAAAACUCCUUCAAGGGCCGGCCAUUCCUUGGAAAAAAUGGCCAAGCCUAGCCCUAUAAAUAGGCUCCUAUUUUCACCAAAAACUCAUUCGAACACUUUGGCAAAAAUCCAAAAAUUCUCUAAAUACUCUUUCUCUCUAAAUUCUAACUUUGGCAUCGGAGGUUCUUCGGCCAAAGCCCCCCCACCCCAUUCAUCGUGGGCGCGUGAGGCUCUUGGCCUUAACCUAAGGUGUUAAUUGUUUUGUAGGUGCAAAAUUGUCCAAGAUCAAGGAGGAAGAAAUUUGCAUCCACAAAUUGGUGCUUUCAUUGAGAGUUGAGAUCCAUACUCAUAGAAGACUCUCGCAUAAAAGGUUUUUUCUCUAUUUUCUAGUCCAUUUGAAUAUUUUUCAUACGUUCUUAUUGUUAGAAUUUUUUAUUUGCAAAGGUUCUUGGAUAAAACGUAUAAGAAAAAUAUAAUGGCUAGAAAUUUAGAAAAUUCCACAAGUGAAAAUUCUAAUACUCAAGAAAUGGGACCGCGGCGAUCCACGAGGCUAAAUGUGGUCAUAGGCGGAGUGGUACCACCACUACUAGGUUCCACCAUGGCCCAAGCCAUGCCAUCCAAGCUUGCACGGGUCCGAGGCUAACUCCCGACGAGCAGCCCACUCCCGCCAAGCAGCCCACUUUCGCGGCCCAACCUGCUCUCAUGGCCCAAACUACUCUCGCAACCCAGCUUACUCCUACUGAGUAGCCUGCUCCCUA